rnacentral:rRNA from 1 species
CGCUGGCGGCGUGCCUAAUACAUGCAAGUCGAACGGUCUUUCUAUGGAAGCUUGCUCCACUGAGAAGAUAGUGGCGAACGGGUGAGUAACACGUGGGUAACCUGCCCAUAAGAGGGGGGAUAACAUCCGGAAACGGGUGCUAAUACCGCAUAGUUUUCUUGAUCGCAUGAUCGGGAAAGGAAAGACGGCCUUUGUGCUGUCGCUUAUGGAUGGACCCGCGGCGUAUUAGUUAGUUGGUGAGGUAACGGCUCACCAAGACGAUGAUACGUAGCCGACCUGAGAGGGUGAUCGGCCACAUUGGGACUGAGACACGGCCCAAACUCCUACGGGAGGCAGCAGUAGGGAAUCUUCCGCAAUGGACGAAAGUCUGACGGAGCAACGCCGCGUGAGUGAAGAAAAGGUUUUCGGAUCGUAAAACUCUGUUGUCAGAGAAGAACAAGUUGGAGAGUAACUGCUCCAGCCUUGACGGUAUCUGACCAGAAAGCCACGGCUAACUACGUGCCAGCCGCCGC